GGAUAACCUGCCCUUGGGUCCGGCAUAACCCCGGGAAACUGGGGAUAAUACCGGAUAACGCACAUAUGCUGGAAUGCUUUAUGCGUAAAAUGGAUUCGUCUGCCCAAGGAUGGGUCUGCGGCCUAUCAGGUAGUAGUGGGUGUAAUGUACCUACUAGCCAACAACGGGUACGGGUUGUGAGAGCAAGAGCCCGGAGAUGGAUUCUGAGACAUGAAUCCAGGCCCUACGGGGCGCAGCAGGCGCGAAAACUUUACAAUGCGGGAAACCGUGAUAAGGGGACACCGAGUGCCAGCAUCAUAUGCUGGCUGUCCAGGUGUGUAAAAUACACCUGUCAGCAAGGGCCGGGCAAGACCGGUGCCAGCCGCCGCGGUAACACCGGCGGCCCGAGUGGUGAUCGUGAUUAUUGGGUCUAAAGGGUCCGUAGCCGGUUUGGUCAGUCCUCCGGGAAAUCUGACGGCUUAACCGUUAGGCUUUCGGGGGAUACUGCCAGGCUUGGAACCGGGAGAGGUAAGAGGUACUACAGGGGUAGGAGUGAAAUCUUGUAAUCCCUGUGGGACCACCUGUGGCGAAGGCGUCUUACCAGAACGGGUUCGACGGUGAGGGACGAAAGCUGGGGGCACGAACCGGAUUAGAUACCCGGGUAGUCCCAGCCGUAAACGAUGCUCGCUAGGUGUCAGGCAUGGCGCGACCGUGUCUGGUGCCGCAGGGAAGCCGUGAAGCGAGCCACCUGGGAAGUACGGCCGCAAGGCUGAAACUUAA
rnacentral:rRNA from 1 species